GGUUCAAUAGUGAAAGACGGUUUUGCUGUCACUUAUAGAUGGAUCCGCGCCGCAUUAGCUAGUUGGUAAGGUAACGGCUUACCAAGGCAACGAUGCGUAGCCGACCUGAGAGGGUGAUCGGCCACACUGGAACUGAGACACGGUCCAGACUCCUACGGGAGGCAGCAGUAGGGAAUCUUCCGCAAUGGGCGAAAGCCUGACGGAGCAACGCCGCGUGAGUGAUGAAGGUCUUCGGAUCGUAAAACUCUGUUAUUAGGGAAGAACAAAUGUGUAAGUAACUAUGCACGUCUUGACGGUACCUAAUCAGAAAGCCACGGCUAACUACGUGCCAGCAGCCGCGGUAAUACGUAGGUGGCAAGCGUUAUCCGGAAUUAUUGGGCGUAAAGCGCGCGUAGGCGGUUUUUUAAGUCUGAUGUGAAAGCCCACGGCUCAACCGUGGAGGGUCAUUGGAAACUGGAAAACUUGAGUGCAGAAGAGGAAAGUGGAAUUCCAUGUGUAGCGGUGAAAUGCGCAGAGAUAUGGAGGAACACCAGUGGCGAAGGCGACUUUCUGGUCUGUAACUGACGCUGAUGUGCGAAAGCGUGGGGAUCAAACAGGAUUAGAUA
rnacentral:rRNA from 1 species